UACGUAGGUGGCAAGCGUUGUCCGGAUUUAUUGGGUUUAAAGGGUGCGUAGGCGGCUUUGUAAGUCAGUGGUGAAAUAUGGCAGCUCAACUGUCAGGGUGCCAUUGAUACUGCGGAGCUUGAGUACAGAUGAGGUAGGCGGAAUUGACGGUGUAGCGGUGAAAUGCUUAGAUAUCGUCAAGAACACCGAUAGCGAAGGCAGCUUACUGGGCUGUAACUGACGCUGAGGCACGAAAGUGUGGGAAUCAAACAGG
rnacentral:rRNA from 1 species